CCUACGGGAGGCAGCAGUGGGGAAUAUUGGGCAAUGGGCGCAAGCCUGACCCAGCAACGCCGCGUGAAGGAAGAAGGCUUUCGGGUUGUAAACUUCUUUUCUCAGGGACGAAGCAAGUGACGGUACCUGAAGAAUAAGCCACGGCUAACUACGUGCCAGCAGCCGCGGGAAUACGUAGGUGGCAAGCGUUAUCCGGAUGUGCUGGGUGUAAAGGGCGUGUAGGCGGGACUGCAAGUCAGAUGUGAAAACCAUGGGCUCAACCUAUGGCCUGCAUUUGAAACUGUAGUUCUUGAGUACUGGAGAGGCAGACGGAAGUCCUAGUGUAGCGGUGAAAUGCGUAGAUAUUAGGAGGAACACCAGUGGCGAAGGCGGUCUGCUGGACAGCAACUGACGCUGAGGCGCGAAAGCGUGGGGAGCAAACAGGAUUAGAUACCCUUGUAGUC
rnacentral:rRNA from 1 species